rnacentral:rRNA from 1 species
UACGAAGGGGGCUAGCGUUGCUCGGAAUGACUGGGCGUAAAGGGCGCGUAGGCGGAUGGCAUAGUCAGAUGUGAAAUUCCCGGGCUUAACCUGGGGACUGCAUUUGAUACGUGUCGUCUUGAGUUCGGAAGAGGGUCGUGGAAUUCCCAGUGUAGAGGUGAAAUUCGUAGAUAUUCGCAAGAACACCAGUGGCGAAGGCGGCUCACUGGCCCGGUACUGACGCUGAGGUGCGAAAGCGUGGGGAGCAAACAGG